rnacentral:rRNA from 1 species
UACGUAGGGUGCGAGCGUUGUCCGGAAUUAUUGGGCGUAAAGGGCUCGUAGGCGGUUUGUCGCGUCGGCUGUGAAAACCUGAGGCUCAACCUCGGGCCUGCAGUCGAUACGGGCAAACUAGAGUUAGGUAGGGGAGACUGGAAUUCCUGGUGUAGCGGUGGAAUGCGCAGAUAUCAGGAGGAACACCAAUGGCGAAGGCAGGUCUCUGGGCCGAAACUGACGCUGAGGAGCGAAAGCGUGGGGAGCGAACAGG